GUGGGGAAUUUUGGACAAUGGGCGAAAGCCUGAUCCAGCAAUGCCGCGUGCAGGAUGAAGGCCUUCGGGUUGUAAACUGCUUUUGUACGGAACGAAAAGCUUCGGGUUAAUACCCUGGAGUCAUGACGGUACCGUAAGAAUAAGCACCGGCUAACUACGUGCCAGCAGCCGCGGUAAUACGUAGGGUGCAAGCGUUAAUCGGAAUUACUGGGCGUAAAGCGUGCGCAGGCGGUUUUGUAAGACAGAGGUGAAAUCCCCGGGCUCAACCUGGGAACUGCCUUUGUGACUGCAAGGCUAGAGUACGGCAGAGGGGGAUGGAAUUCCGCGUGUAGCAGUGAAAUGCGUAGAUAUGCGGAGGAACACCGAUGGCGAAGGCAAUCCCCUGGGCCUGUACUGACGCUCAUGCACGAAAGCGUGGGGAGCAAACAGG
rnacentral:rRNA from 1 species